rnacentral:rRNA from 1 species
GACGAACCGUGCGAACGUUUGUUCGGAAUCACUGGGCUUAAAGGGCGCGUAGGCGGCUCGCGAGGUCGGGGGUGAAAUCCCGCAGCUUAACUGCGGAAGGGCCUCCGAUACCGGCGGGCUGGAGGAAGGUAGGGGUGCGCGGAACUUUCUGGUGGAGCGGUGAAAUGCGUUGAUAUCAGAAGGAACGCCGGCGGCGAAAGCGGCGCACUGGACCUUUUCUGACGCUGAGGCGCGAAAGCUAGGGGAGCAAACGGGG